UGGCAAGCCUCUUAAAGUUAGCCUCCUGAGUCGAAGAAAACUGUUUGCUGGAAAUAUCAUCUCCUCCUGAGGCCAAGCAGAUAUGAUUUCAUCCUCGUUAAAAAUACCCAAAUAGAGAAAGCAAGGCUUCAAAUAAUAGGCUUCGCGUGGGUAUAUUACACGCCUCAAUCGGAGCUCGGAUGAAGAAGUUAUGGCCAUUUGACGAAGGUUGCGCGAAGCAGUCAAAACCGGCAAAAACGCCCGGGUCGGGCGUUUUCAGCAUUAAAAACGCCUGGGGACAGUGGAAACGCCCGGGAUGGCAUAAAAAACGCCCGGGUUGGCACCAUUUUGCCCGGUCGGGCGUUUUUCUCGAAAACUGCCGAAUUUUAGGUUUCAAAUUGGUUUCCAGGGCGGUUUUGGAAGAGAUAGAGACAUAUUCAGACACGAGAAAAGGGAGAGGAAAAGAGAGAAAGAGAGGAGGAAGAAGAAAAGGAAGAAAUUCCGGCCAACAUUCCAACGAUCCGUCUCCAAAUCCCAAUUCCACUCAACGAGAGCAUGUUUCCUAUGGUUUUUGUUGCAAAUUCCACCAUGUGUUUAGGCUAAACUCUCUAUGUUGCUCCAAGUUGUAAUCUUGGCUUUGUAUGGAUGUAUCUACACCUUUGAACUCAUGUGUUUGUUACCAACAAUGUGCUUAAUGUUUAUACACUAUGUUUUUGGCUAA